CUGCAGCUCUCCUAGACCCCAUUUAACAGCUGACUGCCGCUGAGGAAGGUUCUCUUUCUGGAGAUUGCUUCUUGUGGAGUUUGGUGUGAGCCUACAACACCGACUCUCUCCCUUAGCCUGGUUGAAAUCUUCCAUGCAGCCAGUCCCUAAACAGUGAUGUGAGGCAGGAGCAGCUGCACAGUAAGGAGCUCUUGUGCAUACUCCAUGUCUGCAACGUGAGAACAGUCCAAACUUCUGAGUUUAGAUCUGAUGGUUGAAAUCUUUGUAGAAAGGAGUAUUUUGCUAGCUAAGCCUCAGCUUCAAAAGUGCUUUUCUCUGCCUCUCAGAUUGUUCCUGCUGUUGACCAUAAUAGACUGCUCAUUAGAAAGACCCUGACAGCAAUGGGCACAGAUCUAUUUCUUCUCCUGUGAUGUCUGGCUAGGCUGUUCCAAAAGCAGAUGGAUCUGGGAGAAACGUAAGAGCAAUUCAGUUCUCGUGGUGAGAAGGAAGGCUUGCUGGGCAAGUGGCAUUUCUGACCCUCUAUCAGCCACAGCUGGACUGGCUGACGGCUGGGGGAAGCUAAGCAGGUGUGGGGGGGGCUGCUCCCUCUAGAAACCUUGCACCAAAGCAGGCAGCAGGAAAGAAUGUAGCAAGGUAACUGGUGGCAUUGUUCCCUCUGUGAGGAGACCCUGCAGAAUGGGCUCAGGCUCCCCUUGGCAUCAGGAGAAAGCCCCAUGAAGCGCAGACUCCUAGGGUUUGGCUAAUGGGACUCCUUCCAUCAACCCCUUCAUUGCUUGUGGAGCAGCAGCAUGCUGCUGUGGAGGAAGUCACUUUGGAAAUUCCAUUUAGGACCUGCACUGGAGACAUUGGCUUGCAGAAGUUAGUGAGUGGCUGCUCCUGCCAACAGAGCUCCAUGCAGAAACGCAGCUGUGCUGAACAGCUCCCAGUCAAACAAGAGGGAAGCAUCACAUAAACUCCAACCUCUUAUCUCUUGUGCACAACUUGAGAAAAGUAGCAGUGUGUGAACUUUGCGUUGCAUCGUGUGGAUAUCAUGGACCAAAAGCCUGCAGAACUGAUGGUGCUGAUUGUGCAGGGCUGCAGCUGUGAGGGGCACACAGGUUGGUCAUGCCAGCAGGCUUCUGCCUGCUGCUUUGUUCCCCAGUCCCCUGCUGCUCCAGGACUUGCUGAGAUGGAUGUAAGCCACUGACACGUUUCCAUGGGUACCUGUUUGCAAUGCUGCUCUUGGGUAGCUUUGUCUCUCCCAAAGUCUGAAGCUUUGCAGUAGCUGUUGUGAAGGGUUUGUGCUGUUACUGCCCACAGCAGGGCAGGCGAGGUGUGCUGCUCGCUGCUCCUUUCCAUUCAGGGAAGUGCUGACAUGGCACAGCAGGUGCCGUGUGAAGAAAUCCAAGCUUCUGCCAGCUGCCCACUGAGCUCUGCAGCGGUUUGUGCCUUCUGAGAGGUUCAUUUAACUCAGAAGCAGCACUGCGUCUGCACUUACGCUGCUUCUGGUAUCUAGGCUGGUUUCUGAGAGUGCCUACCUAGAGCAUUCACACUCCUGCUGUGGUGCGAUGCCUCUCGCUAGGUCAAUGCGAUGCCUGAGCGUGAGCACCUAGAAGUAUGAAAAGCACUUGUAUUUGAGGAAAAAUAAUUGCUAUUUCCAUCCAGACAGGAUCUGCAGGAGCCAUUGCUGAGCCAGGCUGCCCGGAGCCCUGCGUAUCAAGCAGACACUGCCCUCAGGACAGGGCGUUCUCUGCUCUCUGAGGGCAAACACCAGAGAAGCGACUGUGGGGAGACUCCUGCAAACCCACCUGCAGCUCCUCGCAGCCAGGCUGCUCACAGCCACACCAUCCCCACUGCUGCAGGGAUUUUUUUCCACGUGCAGUAACACAACUUCUCUCUGAGAGACUGCUUUUGCCUUUGGUUGUGCUGCUGUUGCCUUUGGUGCCCAGAAGAGUUGCUCCAGGCUGAUUGGUGCUCAGCCAUCCCUUUCAUCCAUCAGUGCCUGCAUUUUUGUCUCUGAAUUUGGACUUAGAGCCCCUUGAAAGAAAAUAGGAAGGUUAUUUCAUAUGUGAAGGAAUUUAUUAAGCCUGGACCUGGAUCUCAUUCUUAUGCAAUGCAAAUGAGUAAUAACAAGCCUUCUUCAUUACCAGCUGAGCACUUGGGCCAUGGCUAUUAAAUCCUCGCCUCCCUUCAGUCUGUUUCUAUCAGACUGCCACAUUAAGCUGCAUCCUCAUCGGAAUUCAUAAAGCCAGCCCAGACUUGUGUUGGGAUCUAAGCCUGCAAAAUUAAAACUCGAGUAGCAGAACACAAUAUUUCUUUGGCUAUUGAGAGGAGCAAGCCGGGAUAUUUUGGGGCAUGGUGUACUGAAUGAGGCGUGACAUCACCUUGAUUACUUGUGAUAAUGAAAAAUUUCACAACAGCCAUAUGGCAAGGAAAAAGAAUAAGGGUCCAUUUAUCUCACUGCUCUGGUUUGGUUACAUAACACUGACAUAACGAGCAGAACCACCCUGGCUUUUGUAGUCCAUGAGUGGUUUCCAUCACACAGCCCUGACUGCAUGCCCUGGAGGUGGCUGCAGAGGAGCACCCAGAUGUGUGCAGUAUCCACUGACAUGCCUGGAAGAACAGCACUGCAUCCAGACCUUCGCACGUGAGAGACCAAUGUUGAUUCUUUGAAAAUCUUUCUGCUAGUUGGAGUUCUGCUGUAACUCUCAGCCACCGAGCAGAACUUUAAAAGUAUUAAUGACCUUUCCUUGCAUAAAAUGAGAAAAGCAGGGAACUGCCUAAGAGAGCAGCUGUGAUUCCAACCUCUUUUUUUAUAUGGGAAUCCCUUUCUACUAGGGACCUGCCCUCAGCUCAGGCUUUCCAUCAGCAGAUUUGUUCCAAAACACAGCUUCUCCCUCAAGCAAGCUGACUGCAUCCCUCGUGCAGGAGCCCUGGCUGCUCCAGCCAGGCAGAGCUGGCACCACAUGGCAGAGCCCCAGUCACAGAAUCACAGAAUGGCCUCAAUUGAAAAGGUCCACAGUGAUCAUCUAGUGUCAACCCCCCUGCUGUGUGCAGGCAGUCCUGCUGCCCCAGUGAGACCCCAAGCGGGAAAAGGCUUCUGGUCUCUUCCCCUUAAACUGUGCUGCUUUUUGUGGGGAGAUCAGGUACUUGGUAAAGCAAUGAAAGGAAAAGGCCCCGUGGCUCUCUGUUGCAGGAACUAACUCAUUUGUUUGGGAGUACUGAGUGUCAGUGAUGGUUAUGGAUUUUAUACUAUACUCCCCCUUGAGUGAUUUCACUCCUCAGAGA